rnacentral:rRNA from 1 species
UACGAAGGGGGCUAGCGUUGCUCGGAAUCACUGGGCGUAAAGCGCACGUAGGCGGACUCUUAAGUCAGGGGUGAAAUCCUGGAGCUCAACUCCAGAACUGCCUUUGAUACUGAGAGCCUUGAGUCCGGAAGAGGUAAGUGGAACUGCGAGUGUAGAGGUGAAAUUCGUAGAUAUUCGCAAGAACACCAGUGGCGAAGGCGGCUUACUGGUCCGGUACUAACGCUGAGGUGCGAAAGCGUGGGGAGCAAACAGG